rnacentral:rRNA from 1 species
UAUAAUUUACUUGAUCUUGGCACAAUCCUACUUGGAUAACUGUGGUAAUUCUAGAGCUAAUACAUGCAUUAAAGCUCUGACCUCACGGGAAGAGUGCAUUUAUUAGAACAAAACCAAGCAGCUUCGGCUGUUUCUGGUUGACUCAUAGUAACUGAGCUGAUCGCAUGGUCUUGCACCGGCGACGUGUCUUUCAAGUAUCUGCCGUAUCAACUUUCGAUGGUAGUGUAUCUGACUACCAUGGUGAUCACGCGUAACGGAGAAUAAGGGUUCGGCUCCGGAGAGUUCGCCUGAGAAAUCGCGAACACAUCUAAGGAAGGCAGCAGGCGCGAAAAUUACCCACUCUCAGCACGAGGAGGUAGUGACGAAAAAUAACGAGACCGUUCUCUUAUGAGGCCGGUCAUCGGAAUGGGUACAAUUUAAACCCUUUAACGAGUAUCUAUGAGAGGGCAAGUCUGGUGCCAGCAGCCGCGGUAACUCCAGCUCUCAAAGUGCAUAGAAUUAUUGCUGCGGUUAAAAAGCUCGUAGUUGGAUCUGUGCCAUAGGACGUGGUCCACCUUCGGGUGCGUGCUACGCUCCUAGGCUUUUUGCUGGUUUUCCCGUCGUAGCCUUCACUGGUUGCGGCGGGUGGCUGGCGAGUUUACUUUGAGAAAAUCAGAGUGCUCAAUACAGGCGUAUCGCUUGAAUGAUUGUGCAUGGAAUAAUAGAAAAGGAUUUCGGUCCUCUUUUAUUGGUUUUGUGGACUGAGAUAAUGGUUAACAGGGACAAACGGGGGCAUUCGUAUCUCUGCGUGAGAGGUGAAAUUCUUGGACCGUAGAGAGACGCCCUACUGCGAAAGCAUUUGCCAAGAAUGUCUUCAUUAAUCAAGAACGAAAGUCAGAGGUUCGAA